rnacentral:rRNA from 1 species
CACGUAGGCGGAUUGUUAAGUCGGGGGUGAAAUCCUGGAGCUCAACUCCAGAACUGCCUUCGAAACUGGCGAUCUUGAGUUCGGGAGAGGUGAGUGGAACUGCGAGUGUAGAGGUGAAAUUCGUAGAUAUUCGCAAGAACACCAGUGGCGAAGGCGGCUCACUGGCCCGAUACUGACGCUGAGGUGCGAAAGCGUGGGGAGCAAACA